GAGGUUGUGGCUCAGUGGUAGAGCUCUUACCUAGCAUGUGUGAGGCACUGGGUUCUAGUCUCAGCACCACA
rnacentral:tRNA from 1 species